AUUGAACGCUGGCGGCAGGCCUAACACAUGCAAGUCGAACGAGUGGCGGACGGGUGAGUAAUGUCUGGGAAACUGCCCGAUGGAGGGGGAUAACUACUGGAAACGGUAGCUAAUACCGCAUACCAUCGGAUGUGCCCAGAUGGGAUUAGCUUGUAGGUGAGGUAACGGCUCACCUAGGCGACGAUCCCUAGCUGGUCUGAGAGGAUGACCAGCAACACGGGAACUGCGAAAAGGUCCAGACUCCUGCGGGAGGCAGCAGUGGGGACUAUUGCAGAAGGGGCUAAAGCCGGAUGCAGCCAUGCCGCGGGUAUGAAGAAGGCCUUCAGGUUGUAAAGUACUUACAGCGGGGAGGCGUUACCCGCAGAAGAAGCCCCGGCUAACUCCUUGCCAGCAGCCGCGGUAAUAC
rnacentral:rRNA from 1 species